UUUAACAGUAUUUAUGGCCAGACUAAGUA
rnacentral:sRNA from 1 species